GGCUAGGUGGCGGAGUGGUUAACGCGGUAGACUCGAACUCGCAUUUAGUUUAAAUUGCUUCUUUGAAAUCUACUUCCUUCGGGAGCGUCUGUUCGAAUCAGGCCCUAGUCG